CGCAGUCUGCCGCCACAGCACUGCUCCCCACUAGCAACUAGGAGAGAUUUACAGAAGGAUACAGAGGCUGAGCUGUCACCAAAAUCCUCCCCUAAAAGACUUGCAGUGGUUUCUCCCAAGCCACAGUCCCCUGUUCGUGGUCGGACAACGGCAGUUUAUGGUGCCGUUCAGACUGAAAAGGCACAGGAGGUGGAUCGCGCUCAGAUCCAGCAGCUGCGGGAGCGAUGUGAGCGGCAGGCCCUGCAGCUACAGACUCUGCAGGCUCAGUUAAAGAAAGCCUCGCUGUGCCUGGAUGUUUUCAGCAUCACUACCCAGC
ensembl:lncRNA